AUGCAACUAUUCCAGGAUAUCCUGGAGACGUGUGACUUGGCCGACCUGGGUUUUAUUGGGGUCCUGUACACAUAUGAUAACAAGAGAAGCGGGCACGCAAACGUGAAAGUUCAGCUGGAUAGGGCGGUUGCGAAUCCCGCUUGGAGGAAUAUUUUCUUUAACACCCUAGUAAGCCACCUUGCUUCUCCCUGUUCGGAUCACGUGCCUGUUCAUGUGUUCUAUGAUGAGGUGGGUGAUAGGCCAACUAAGCCAAGGCGCAGGCAAUAUGAGAUUAUGUGGGAAAGAGAACAUGCGCUACAGGACUUGAUUGCAAAGGCCUGGCUGGAGGCAGGGGAGAAAGCAUCCCUAGGGGACGUGCACGCGGCCUUAUGGGAUACGAUGAAAACGUUGUGCAAAUGGAGUAAGGAGAACUUUGGCGGUGUAGCUCGGGAAAUUGAAAAGUCAAGGACUCAGCUUGAGGAACUCAUGUUGAUGAAUGCAGACAGAUGUGAGAUUCGUAAGGUAACACAUAGAAUGAAUGAGUUACUCUACAGAGAAGAGUUAAUGUGGAUGCAACGAUCCCGUAUUACUUGGCUUAAGGAAGGGGACCGAAAUACAAAAAAAAUUCAAUCAAAGGCUGUGUGGAGAGCUAGAAAGAACCGUAUAAAAAUGUUGGGGAACAUAGUAAUUUCAAAAAAAAUUCCUACGUACACGCAAGAUCACGGUGAUGGCAUAGCAACGAGAGGGGAGAGUGUUGUCCACGUACCCUCGUAG
rnacentral:rRNA from 1 species